AAAGGCUUCUGAAAUAGUGAUCAGGGAGGUGCAGCACCCUGCAACCAAGUCUGAGGAGGAAGAUAUAAAAAGUUAUCCCGAGAUUACUGCACUACAAACUAUGGUUGCUGAAUGUCAAGAAAAGCUUUGUAAGUUGGCUUGGAUAGAGAAAAGGCUGGACUGUUUGGAGGAACGAAUGAAAGGGAAAGUGAUAGUAGAUGAAAAGACGUGGACUAAUCUUCUCAGUCGGAUCACUCUACUUGAAACAGAAUUGCUUUUGUCUAAAAAGGAUAAAUGUGUAGAAUUUAAUGCAGUGAGUGAUGACUGUGCUUCCUGCAGUGACGUAGAUCUGGUGACCCUUGAUGGAAAAAUCAAAACGGAGAGGCCAGCAAAUAUUCCUCUGUCUUCAAAUUCGACUCCCAGAGCCUCAACGAUUAAUUACUGUGGUUUGAAAGAUAUCUCAGAGGUAAGCAAAAUUGACAGCUGCCUAGAUGAUUUCUUCCAAAGAUUAAGAAAACAAGCAAGCAUUGAUUGUAGUCAUCACUAUUAGCAAGAAAAAUGACAAAAUUGUACAUCUUAAUCUCAGAUGAAUUCAUUAUGAUGAAUAAAUAGUACUCCGAAUGUUUUAGACUUUCGCAUAUUCAUGGUCCAUUUUUGAGGAUGAUUUAGUUUAAGAAAUCACCUAAAUUUGUUGCUUUUUAAAUUAAAGGAAACAACAAUCCAGAAAAUGGAAAGGAUGAAAAAAAUGUAAGUAACAGAAAGGGGCAACAGAAAUUCAUUUCUCUAUAGGGAAUUGUAUUAGAUUACAGUAUAUAUAGAAUGUGCAUAUGUGCUUCAAACCUUAAAGGUCUCUCAGUCAGGUGUGGAAUUUCCUUCAAGACUCCAGUGGAUCAUAAAUCCAUGUACAGUUAGUUAUGUGUUGUAAGAUGAGUCAUUGUUUUGGUUUCCAACAAGUGAUGUACAGCAGAGUUAAUGGAAUUAACUGUGGAUUAAAAGAAUGCAAAGAUAUUUUUGGUUGGUAGUUAAUGAAGUGUUAUCCUGUUUUGCUAACUGAUUAAGCAGAACAAUAAACGUGGAGAUGGGUGGUUUGGAGACUUUUUUACAGUCAAAGUGUUGCUAGUAAGUUCUAAGGUAAUACUAAUCAUGAUACUUGUGCAUCUUGUUUAUAAGGAUUAGUUCAAAGAAAAUAUAAAACGAAAUUGCAUGAGAAUAGUAUGUAAAAAUGUUUUUAAGUGAUAUUAUGUAGCUAAAUCACUUUAAAACUACAUAUAAGAUUCUUUUAAAAUUUGAAGACAAUAUUAAAAUAACUAGACACCAAGAAUUGAGUCUCGUUUUUUUUUUCCCACUGGCCCUUGUAUAAAGUUUAUUAGUACUGUAGUACCCAUAGCUAACAAUAAAAAUUGAAACUUAUUUUAAAUGCAGAAGCAUAAUUUUAACAGCUUGUAUCUUUUUCUUUGUUACUAUUUAUUUACACAUCAUUUGUUUAUUUUAUUUCAGGUUUGAAGAAACUGCAGAGUUAUUAAAAUGUCCAAGUCACUAAUUGUAGAAUUUUCUGCAUGAACUGCUGUAGAACUUUGGCUACUGUACAUGUUGUAUAUUUUAAGAACUUUCUAUAUAAUUUUAAUAUACCAUAAUAUUUUUAUUAAGAAUUUGUAUUCUAUUUGGUAUAUGAGUUUUUCCAUUCACUAUUGAAUAAACACUUUAGUAUUUUUGAACUGUUUUUAUGCUGGUUUACUCUCACUUUUGGUAGAAAAAACGUAUUAAGUUCUAGUACAUUGCUUUUACAGAAUGAAGUCAUUACAGCAAGCCCUGUAUUUUUGUGUUGACAUUUGUUGGCAGUGUGCUAAGUAAUAUGUUUUUUAAAGUACAGGCUUGAGGACUAUAGUUUACAUCCUGUUGGAAGCAUUCCAAGUAGGGCUUGCAUAUCGUACCCCAGAGGCUCAGACAUAUGAUCAGCCAUCUGUGCUGACGGGUAAGUUGUAAUGAAAAGUCAGAAGUGCUCAUUGACAAAUAAAACAAAAACAAGCUAUUUCAUGCUCAGUCGAAAAGUAGCAGUAUUAACAUUGAGAAAGGAAGGAUGAACUCCUUUGGCAGUCAGAUGGGUCUGCAGGUUCACUGUGAGAAAUGAGCGGAAUAUUUUAGUGCUCCAUUCUAUCACAUAUUUUUAAAGUAGCAGCACAGACACAGCUGGUGGACAGCCGGGGUUUGAAGAUACACAGUUAGCUUUUCCUUUCUGUUUCAGUGAUGAGAAGUUUGUAAAAAGUUUUGAAGAGAAAAAGCCUUAGAUGAAAGUAAAUAGAUAAUUAAAAUCACUUAAAAAUGUUUUGUAUAAACAUCUUUUUCUAACUUUGUAAACAAAAAUACACUAAUCCUGUAGAAUCAAGGAAAUGGACCAUUACUGCAAAGAUAAAGCACUUUUCUUUCUUAUAUUGAUC
ensembl:lincRNA